GUGCCAGCCGCCGCGGUAAUACAGAGGGGGCGAGCGUUAUUCGGAAUUAUUGGGCGUAAAGGGCGCGUAGGCGGCCCAGCAAGUCUUGGGUGAAAUCCCUCGGCUCAACCGAGGAACUGCCCCGGAAACUGCUGGGCUUGAGGCCGGGAGAGGGUGGUGGAAUUCCCAGUGUAGCGGUGAAAUGCGUAGAUAUUGGGAGGAACACCAGUGGCGAAGGCGGCCACCUGGACCGGUUCUGACGCUGAGGCGCGAAAGCGUGGGGAGCAAACAGGAUUAGAUACCCUAGUAGUCC
rnacentral:rRNA from 1 species